rnacentral:rRNA from 1 species
GAUGAACGCUGGCGGCGUGCCUAAUACAUGCAAGUCGAGCGAACGGACGAGAAGCUUGCUUCUCUGAUGUUAGCGGCGGACGGGUGAGUAACACGUGGAUAACCUACCUAUAAGACUGGGAUAACUUCGGGAAACCGGAGCUAAUACCGGAUAAUAUUUUGAACCGCAUGGUUCAAAAGUGAAAGACGGUCUUGCUGUCACUUAUAGAUGGAUCCGCGCUGCAUUAGCUAGUUGGUAAGGUAACGGCUUACCAAGGCAACGAUGCAUAGCCGACCUGAGAGGGUGAUCGGCCACACUGGAACUGAGACACGGUCCAGACUCCUACGGGAGGCAGCAGUAGGGAAUCUUCCGCCAUGGGCGAAAGCCUGACGGAGCAACGCCGCGUGAGUGAUGAAGGUCUUCGGAUCGUAAAACUCUGUUAUUAGGGAAGAACAUCUGUGUAAGUAACUGUGCCCAUCUUGACGGUACCUAAUCAGAAAGCCACGGCUAACUACGUG